rnacentral:rRNA from 1 species
UACGAAGGGGGCUAGCGUUGUUCGGAAUUACUGGGCGUAAAGCGCACGUAGGCGGGUUGUUAAGUCAGGGGUGAAAUCCUGGAGCUCAACUCCAGAACUGCCUUUGAUACUGGCAACCUAGAGACUGGAAGAGGUUAGUGGAAUUCCCAGUGUAGAGGUGAAAUUCGUAGAUAUUGGGAAGAACACCAGUGGCGAAGGCGGCUAACUGGUCCAGCACUGACGCUGAGGUGCGAAAGCGUGGGGAGCAAACAGGA